rnacentral:rRNA from 1 species
AGUUGCCAGCAUUCAGUUGGGCACUCUAGAGGGACUGCCGGUGGUCAAACCGGAGGAAGUGGGGAUGACGUCAAGUCCUCAUGGCCUUUAUGUCUAGGGCGUACACACGUACUACAAUGGCCGGUACAAAGGGCAGCCACUCAGCGAUGAGGCGCUAAUCCCAUAAAGCCGGUCUCAGUCCGGAUCGCAGUCUGCAACUCGACUGCGUGAAGUUGGAAUCGCUAGUAAUCGUAGAUCAGCAUGCUACGGUGAAUACGUUCCCGGGCCUU